rnacentral:lncRNA from 1 species
UCCCCCUUGAAUGUCUAUUCAAUAAUGUGCCUCAUAAAACCUUAAAACCAAAACCCAUUGGGAAAAAUUAAAGAAAGGAAAAAGAGUACACAUGUUUGGAUAUGCGCUUAUUGGUUGCCUCGUUAAAAACCUUGCAAAGAAAACCCGGUGGGACAAAACCUUGUAAUGGAAAAAGAGUGCAACGCGCCUUAACUCCCCCUAAUAAGAACAUCAAUUUAUGUCCUUAAGUC